AGUCUUAUAGUCAAAUUUAUGACAUCAAAUUGCAAAUUUGAGAGUGGGGCUACCCUAAGGCUU
rnacentral:tRNA from 1 species